CCGGGAUAGCUCAGUCGGUAGAGCAGAGGAUUGAAAAUCCUCGUGUCACCAGUUCAAAU
rnacentral:tRNA from 2 species